GGGGAGAAAAAGUCUGGUGACCUGACUUCAGACACAGGGAUUUCUUGUUGGCCUGAAAUCCUCAUUUGCUGCUAAGAGUGUUAAGGCAAUAUUGUGUAAUCAGCUCCAUAAGAGAAAGGAGGCACCACUGAAGAGAUCAAGUGACUCUCUUGCCGGAAGACUUGGUAUUAAGUGCUCAGCGUUCUGCGCAGAUAUAUGGCAUUGGGGCACAGUGAAAGAGCCCCGGCCUCACAAGCCAUCCCAGACAGCAGUGAGAGAGGGCUCUGUGGAACCAGGAGGCUUUGGGAAUAUUGUGACAGCCAAUUAAAGCCAUGUGAUCCCUCUCCUGUAUGGGUCACCCAGCACUAGGAAAUACAACAUGGAUGUUUACAGCCGGCUUUUUCCUGGAAAGAGGCAGUACAAAAACAAGGUCUUGCCUAAGAAUCACAUCCCCAUCUGUUUCUGCUUUGCCCUGUUUAUCCCAUCCCAUGAGUGGAAACAAGAAAGAGGGGAUUAACCCCCCCCCCCAACCAACGGAAUGCUUUUCAGGCC